rnacentral:rRNA from 1 species
UACGUAGGGACCAAGCGUUGUUCGGAUUCAUUGGGCGUAAAGGGUGCGUAGGUGGCGCUGUAAGUCGGGUGUGAAAUUUCGGAGCUUAACUCCGAAACUGCAUUCGAUACUGCGGUGCUUGAGGACUGGAGAGGAGACUGGAAUUCGAUGGUGUAGCAGUGAAAUGCGUAGAGAUCAUGAGGAAGACCAGUGGCGAAAGGCGGGUCUCUGGACAGUUCCUGACACUGAGACACGAAGGCCAGGGGAGCAAACGGGG